rnacentral:lncRNA from 1 species
UGUUCUCUUAGUGGAUAGUCAAUUAAUAUGUUGUAUCUUUUGAGAAAGAAAUUAGUAUCAAGUAAUUAUCACAACAAAAAGUUAAAUAUUUAGGCAAAUAAGAGUUCGGUUGUUUCGAUAUUUGUGACAUAAAUUUUUUUCUUGAUAUAAUAUGAUACUUAAUAGUCAUCUUAUACAAAAAUUUUAUAUAGAUACUAUUUAACAUAAAGUUUCAUAUUAAUUGUUCAUACUGUAAAUUUUUUAUAAUUAUUUUCCUAGUUGAAUAUGAAUCAAGGUUACUUGAAUACCUCAUUAUUUGGACAUUAUUAAAAAAUGUAGUUACUUAUGAUGAUUUAGGCUAUUCCACAUUAAUGUCAAUUCACUUAUUACUGUUUUUCCUAGUUGAAUAUGAAUCAAGGUAACUUGAAUACCAUACUAUUUGGACAUUGUUAAAAAUUUUAAUUACUUUUAAUGAUUUAGGUUACUUUACAUUGAUGUCAUUCACUGACCAUUAUUCUUUGUACUAUCUACUUAUUGACUUUUUGUAAGAAAAUACAUAUUGUUUGUUUGAAAAAAAAAAUGAAUAGUUUUAAAUUUGACCAUAUCAUGAUGCAUCAUACUUGUAGUACUUUUACAUGAUAAUAUUAAUGUAUUUAUAUCAUAACUAUAAUUUGAUAGGCUAAAAACCUCCCUAACAUUUUACCAUUAAUGAUAUACAAUACACAUGUGGUAAAUAUAAAAAUUCAAUACAUAAAUCUGCAACUACAUAUUUAUAAUGUAUUACACCAACUCAAUUUUGUUAAAAUAUGAUUAACAUCUUCAUCCACUAGAUGCACUCUUUUUUGAAUAAGUUCUUCUACUUCUUCAUACUUGCUACUAUCCCCAGAUUCUUUAAGGGGUGAUUAUUUAAAGAAAUGACAAUCAUGUUUACUAUCGACAUAAUGACAACAAAAAUAUAACCUGUUCAAGUUAUCAUUUCACUCUAAAAUCCUAACAAUUGCCCUUUGUAUAAGUACAAAUCUGCACAUACAAUCACAACAUACUAGAUAUUUACCUCAUCUUCCAUUACUUCUAAUAUUCCUAAAUGACAAUACUUGAAGAUGUCAUGAUAUCUACAUUAUUGAAUACCCAAAAUUAAUUUAUUAAAUUUAAGAAAUUUGGAUUAAAAUAACACCAUGAAAUUACUCAUCAAGAUAAAAUAUUUAGUCACCUACCAUGACCUAUAUUAUUAUAUAUAUAAAAAAAAGGAUGAUAAUCAUAAUAAAUUGAAAAUGUCUUAUGUUGUAAAGAAAUGUAUUUAUUGUGCAUAAGACAUGCUAGGGAGUAUAGCAUAAUAAUCCUCAAUUGUGAAUUCAUAAAAGAAUUAAAUAAUUUCUAAAUUAGGUUAUAUUAUAAUAUACCAUAACAUUCGUAUAUUUAUAUAGUAAAUAUAGUGCAUUGUGCUAUACUUAUAUUUUAUAAUGAAGGUAAUAAUUUUAGAGAUAUCCAUUAAUACUGUAUUGUCGUUUGGUAUUAAUAGAUUAGAUCGAUAUAUGAGUAUCAUUCACUUAAUGCUUUGAAAUUAUUUAAUAAUUUUUAUAAAAAAAAAUAUUGAAAAACCUUGUGAAUUGAGAUCGAUAUUUUAUUUGGUUUUAAGAUUGGUUAAUAAUAGAAUACAUGCUAAGGUAUAUAGUAUAAUCACACAAAAUUGUAAGUCCUAUAAAAUGAUUCAAAACCUUUUAUAUGAGGUCUUGUCGUAAUAUUUUGUAACAUUGGUAUAUUUAUAUUGUAGUAUAGUGUAUUUGUGUUGUACUUAUAAUUUAAAACAAAAUUAAUAGGCUUAAAGAUAUUUUUUUAUACUUUAUUGGCAUCUAAUAUAUCAUAUGAGCGUAUUAACAUCUAAUAUAUCUUUUGGGUCCUUAGCAUCUACAACCAACCUUAUUUGGUAAUUUUUUUAAAUUCUAUAUAAAAAAUAUAAAUAUAUCUUUAUCUUUAAAAAUCACUAUAAAAUUUUAAAAUUUGAGGCAUUAAUUUUUUUUUUGAUACUUUAAUUCUCUUAAAAAGUUUUUAAAACCAUUUACUAUUUUAUAAUUUUAAAAACAAAAAAUAAAAAGUGUAUCCAAAUGAACACCUAAUUUGCCAUGACAAAUAUCAAAUAAAAAUAAAAGUAUAAAUUAUUUUAUAAAUUAAAUACUUUCAACAUCUUAUGUUUGUGAUAAAAAAAAUACAAAAGCAUAGUAUAAUACAAACUAAUGACUUCAAACUCAUGGUUUGUUUCCUCUUCUUUCUCCUUUUCCUUUGGAAUAAAAAUUGAAGAUCAAUUUUACGAGUUCACAUUGAAUUAUUUAAUUCUUAAUUUAUUUGAUGAUUUUUUAUUUGUUAAUUGUUUUAGGAAUAAAAAGUAAAUAUUUAAAAUAAAAUAAUUUAUAAAAGAUUGGUGCUACAUAUAUGUCAUAUUUUUACCAUAAUUUUUAUCAGAAUUUUACUAUCUUGUAAUUAUAAAUAAAUAAAAAUUAGAUAUAAUAAAAAAAUAUUUAUUUAUUAAUUAAAAAUAAUUUUCCACAUCCAAUCAUCACUUAUCUCCUUAUUAGGUGAUAAAAAUAACAGUACAAGUGAUGAGUCACAUGGUCUGACCAAUGUUUUUCUUCAUUAAAUUAUUUAAUCAAAAUAAUCAAAAUAAUUUAAUAAAUUAGUUUUAAUUUAAACAUUUUUUGGACACUCAACUAUACCAUUUUAAUGAUAUAUUUUAUUUUAUUUAUUUUUAAAUUAUUCAUAUAGUAUGGUUUGAGUAGAAAAUUUGAAAUUUGAAUAGAAUAGGGAGAUUAUAAGUCAAAGGCCAUUGAGUGCAGUGUAGAGGAGUGGAGGUGUAAGUGAUGUAAGGGCCAAGCUUGAAGUCAUUGAAAGUCUUUCCAGCUAUAUUUCUAUUUUUGGUAAGUUUGUGUGAGUGUUGAAGAAGUGUAUUUUAAGCCAUAAUGAUAUCAUUACCUUUUCUUUUUAAUAAAAAUAUAAGUUUUUUUUUUUUUGCCCUAGGCUUUCCUCAAUCAUGUCACUUGCUACUCAUGAUAUAUAGGAUGAAGUAAUUAAAAGUGGAGUUUAGUUUGAUCCUUUAUUAUAUAUAAGCUAAAUAUUGUAUUUUAAGAAAUUUUUUAUCAAGUUAGAAUAAUGAUUUUUUUUUUUUUGGUUAGAUUUGAGGAAUUUUUAUUACAAGUGAGACAUAAAUUUCCCAAUUUAUUUAAAUUCAUCAUUAUUUAUCUUCUUCACGAGAAACAUAGUCUUAAAAGAAGACUUUGUUUUUAUUUUAAUAAUAAUAAUAAUAAUAAUAAUUCUUACCCAUAGAAGAUAUAGAUUUUCAAUCAAUCUACUAAAUUUUGUUACCCUAGGCCAAUAGCAAGCAUUGUACUCAAAAUUAUGUUAUGUUAAUUGGUGUCCUUAAUCUAUAUGCUAAUUGGAUCGGUGACCUACUAUCCGUUAUCAAGAUUAUCUUUCAAAUCCUUGAGUUAUAGAUCCUAUUUAUUAUUUGAUUAAUUGACAUAUUUUAACUCCAAUGAGCAUAUGUCAAACUAAGUUCUUAAAAUAAAUUCAAAUCAAAUUCAAUGUUCAAAUAUGGAUUUAAAGAGAUCGAAUUUUAACAUAAAAGAAUAUCUUAUUUUGAAAUCAAUGGUCUUGUCAAGAUAAACUCACAUCUAAAGAUCGAUCUUAAUCUAACUACAAAAUCAAAUUUCAAAUACAACAAAUCAGGUUGAUUAUGUUUUGUUCUUAUUCUUAGAAUUUAGUCCUUAUUUAUCUUCAAGUUUAGCCUUAAUUUUGCUUACAAAUGAUCAAAAUGAAUUAUCAAUGAAUUAAAUCACAGAGAUAAGCAUUCACCAAACCAAUUCUAGUAUCAAUUGUUCUAGAUUAAGGGAUAUCUUAUAGAGGGUUUAUAUAGUAGAUAUGAUUACCAAAAACAUAGUAUAAAGGAAAUUAAAUAAAUAAGGACUCUUCUUUCUUGAAGAUUUAUGCCUUCUUGAUCUUUUUUUUGCAAAAGGAAGUAUUUAGCCACAUAUAAUGACAAUUUCACAUAAUUUCUCUAUAUUUGAUCAUCAAGAAAAUGAAAGAAAACUAUAAAUAAAAUGGAGGAAAAGAGAAAAUUUUGAAUUGCAACUCAAAUUCAAAAAGUGGAGAGAAAUCCUAAGGUUUUUCUAUCAUCUAAUUAACUCCUACUUAUAGAAGAAUAUUAGGACAAUCGACAAUCCCAUAAACUACCCAAAAAUGCCUCUUAAGCAUUCGAAUAUUCUAGAAAAGCAAUAGAACUCUCAAGUACAGGUUCAACGUACAAAAAUUGUUUAAAUCAAUUUUCAAAAGGCUAUUACAGCAAAAUUUGUCAUACCAUUCACUACUUCAGUAUUAGAAAAGCUACCCUGUACCUAAAUCACUUUUGAUCUUGAAAUUGUUGCCUUUAGGAAUCAAUUUGAAACUUAUUCCAACUACUUCAAGUAGUAUCUCCCAGUGCAGUUCACUUUCAUCAUCUUCAAAAUAAUUUUUAAUCAAUUUUUUAUAUUUGAAAUCAAUUUAACUACCUUGCGGAGUAACAUGAAAGCAAUUCCAAAACUGAUUUUAUAGUCAAAUCGAUUUACAAAUUAGUUUAGUGUUACUUCAAAACCUAUGCUUCAUCCUCUUCUCACUUGCUUCCAUUGACCUUUUUGUCUCAUUAAAUUCUUUUAAAUUUAAGGAUUAAAAUUUGUCAUCUUCAUUGCAUCUUACACUCACAUGCACAUUAGUCCAUCAUAUCGGCACUUAGCAUCGCUUUGAGCUAUAGUUGAAGUAAUUAAACACUACAUAUAGAGCAUAAAACUCAAUCUUUUAGUGCUCAAUUUUUUUGAAUGAAUCAAACCCCUCUUGUUAGAUACAAAGUUGAACUUGACAAACUAAACCUUGAGAGCUCCAUUUAUAUAUGUUUAUGAACAACCUAAAAAAAUGCAACGAAAUGGAUAUUAAACUCACUUGAAAACUGAAUUGAAUAUUAAAAACUCAAAACCAAAUUUAGAAAUAAAUUUUAUGCAAAAGUAAAAAUGUGUAAAGAAUUAACUCUAAAAAAGAUAAAUACAAAAGAAAACCUAAGUAAAUGUACUAAAAAUUAGAUUUAGUUAUAAAUAAAAAGGAAAUAAAGGAAAAAUACCCACUAUCCUUUUAUCUUUUUUCCUAAGAAUACUAAACAUUCCAUGGAUGUGAGAUUUUCUCAAUUUUUAGGGGAACUCAUAUUCAAGAAAAUUAAGAUUUCUUUAAGUUAUGCUUGUCCAAAUAUUACAAUCUUAUACUUCAACAUAAGAAACUAUUUUUUAAAUUAAGAUACUUGUGACCCUAAAUUAAGGAUUUUGCUCCAUGCAAAUUCACCACCAAAAAGUUAUCUAUCACACUUUUCCAUGAUUUUCAAAUAUGCUUGUUAUACUAGCACAUAGGUAAACUUAUUAUUGUUUUGCCUACCAUUUUAAGUGAAUGCCUAAGGUCCUUGUAUGCUAUCCAUGGGAUAUGGAAGAAGUUCUCUUACGCUUCUUAGAAAGUAGUCUCAAAACUUUUCUAAACAUCUGUAUGAAACAAGUAGUUUUAAAGUAUACUAGAAGAUAAAUGUAUCAAAUAUUAAAGGAAAUAUCAUAUAUUUUUAUCACAAUAAGCUUUAAGGUGAUGAUAUUACCUUCACUUGUUUGCUCUACUUGAUGUAUUGUCACUCAUUAAAAAAGAUGUCUUCAAUGACAAUCUCCUUCUUUCUCCAAGAGAAUGGUCACUAAGAUGUUUCUAUUACUUUGAAGUGUAGAGUUCUCCUAUAACAUUUCCUUCAAGGGUGCUUAAUAGUGAGAUAUUCAAAUGUUUCAUGUCUGUUUGAGUUGAGAACAUACUUAAGGAGUACCACCUACGUUUAAUACACUUCAAGGUGAGUUUUGUCUUCCGUGUUCCAUGCAUAGUUUGAGGAUCUUACUUUGAUGCUAGAGUAAUAGGUAUGUUAAGAAGAAAUAGUUUAAAUAAUGGCGACCUUGAUUGGACCAAAUUAAAAUCUAAGACAAGGACCUUGAUUGAUCAUAGGACAUAUGUUAUUUUCACCACAUUUUCCUCAAAAGAACCUUUAUGAGGCUUGUAACCCAACUAGAACAUAGUAAGGGGGAAAAAAAACCUUAGAAGGUUUGAUAAUUAAUCAUUAGUAACCCUUAAGUCUUAAACCACCAUAAAAAAUUCUAAGAAUUUUUAGGGUACGUACCUCCAUUUAAGAAACCUCUUUUAAGAUACUAUUUAUAUACCUACCAACUUUUGAUUAGUUUGCCUCUCUUGCCUCCUAAAUUUAGGCACCUCACCAUUUACUUAUCUACUAUAACCUUACCUAGACAUGGACCAAGAGGUAUAAACCUAACUCUGCUCUGUUUCCUAUAAUAUCAUGAGAAUGCCAUUCUAAAAGUAAAAAAGAAAGCUUCAUCACUCUUAUCAUAACCACAAAAACUAAGAAUGUUCCUACACUUUCUCUUUCCCUCAUUUUAUUCUCAUCAUAAGUAAAAAUAAAUUCACCUUUUGAUUUAAAGGCUAACUACACAAAAAGGGAAGACUCACUAGGUGUAUAAACCCAAGUACUUCUCUUUGAUAUCCUAUUUUAAUCAGCAAAGCAUUCUAACAUAGAAAAAAAAAACAUUAGAUCUAAUAUUCUUAUACCAUAGAAAGUAAUUAAAAAGCAAGUAAACAAUGUAGGCAUACAAGGACACAUAAAGAUAUUUUAUCAUUUUGUUAUUUUUUUUUAGCUAGGAACACACUUUACACAAGGUGUACAUGAGCAUGCACCAAAUUAAAUUAUUAUGUUUUGUUAGUGAAAAAAAUGAUUAAGAUUCACUUUUGGAAGAAUUCUACUUAGUACCAUGAGUGCCAAGAAAAUCACUUAUUUCCACUGUUGCAUCUAUUUAUUUUUCAAUUGUUAUAUCAAAUUUUUUGGUUAACAAAUCACUCAAAUAAAAAACGAAAAAAGAAAAAAAAAAAGUUAGUACUCUUUUGAAUGGAUUUUUUGUUUUUUUGUUUUCAAAAAUAAAAAUCAAUAGUAACCCUUAUAAAAUAUGAGAACUCUUUGAAACUUACUUUAAAAAGACAAUGAUUUAAAAUUUUGAGGUAUUAAAUAAUUUUAAAAACAAAUAUUCAAAUGAAUAUUUAGAUAAAAACUUUUUAAGAAUGUCAUAGCAUUGAUAUUUAUAUAAAAUAACUAUAUAUGUAAAAUAUGGUCGAUCUCAAUCCUUUUUUCUAAUGUGACAUGAUUUAAUAUCAAGCUUAAGAUGUUAGGAAAUAUCUCUAAUGUAUAUGAAACUUAUUUAAGAUAGAGCUUCAAUACCACUUAUCUCAUGUAUUCCUCCCUUGCAUGUGAGUUUAAAUAUAAAUGAAGAAAAUAAAUAAGCAGUCAAAUCCAAACUCAUGAACUCUCGAGUUAAAAAUGGGGGUCUAAUUAAAAUUUCGAUAAAUAAAUGUUUGAUAAAUUAAUAAUCUCAUUUAAAUAAUAAAAUCUUCUUGCCCUAACUCAGUAUAGUGUGUAUUAAAUUAAUAACCUCUUGGUUCUAAAAGUAUUUUACAAGAGUUUCACUAUAGUGUCAUUUAUUUAUCCAAAAGUUCAUGUUUUUGGGUAUUAGGAAAAUGGAACUUAACCGGAAAUAAAGCUAAUAGGAACUUAACCUUAAACAAGGUCAAUGGGGACUCGACAAAGAUCACCACCAAAAACAAGGCUAAUAGGAACUUGAUUAGGAACAGGGUCAACAAGAGUUUGGCAAAGAACACGGCCAACAAGAAUUUCACCAUAAGCAAGGUGAGAAACAUGACCUAGAAUAAGACCAUUGAGAACUUGAACUCCAAUUCCAAAUAGGUAAGGGGUAUUGGGAACUGGAAUGGUUGCCUAACAUUCACAAACGAGUUAGGUUUGCAAAUUUCGCCUUCCAGGAAUGACUUUAGCUAAUAAAGAAGUUCUGAAAAUGCUUAGGAAACCACCUUUGAUCAUGUGGAUUGAAAUUAUAUAUUAUACACCCUUAAUCAACUUAUUAGGCAGACCAAAUCAUGGUUAACGGUCAUAAUUCAAUGUUCUCGAUUGUUGUACAGUAAUGGAGAGGGCAUGACAUGAGACCAGCCCAUUAAUCCAUACCAUUUGGCCAAGUGCUUGGGCUCCUUUACUUUCCAAUACUUGCAUUUUCCCUUUCUUUUUUGGGUCCUUGGCCUUUCACUUUCGUUCAGUAGACAGAUUUGUAUCUACAUUUCAAGGCUAAAAUAUUACCAACUUCCUCUUUGUGGGCAAUAAUUUACUUUUGGCAUCCCCCCCUAAAGAUGUACUUUGAAUAAACAAAACGGAAACAUGGAGAUUUCCUGCUCAUGAAAAUGUCACAGAAUUUGUAAUUUUGUUGGUUUCUUUGUGGUCCUUUGACUGUCCAAUAAGAUGCUGUCUUCUUGGAUGCUUGCAGAAGGGCCUUUGAGAAUAACUUCAGAUAUAUUUUAUAUUUCCUCCCACACUCUUGCCAUUAUCAAUGCCCUCAUUCUUCAUUAUUUUAAUAAUGAGCACAAUUAUCUCAAUCAUGCUCUAUUAUAAUCAUAUAGUACAACUAAACAUGUAGUAAAAGGCCCUUGAACUAUGGGGAAAAUAAAAGGGAAAGUAUGGCAUUUUUUGAGGGCAAGAUUCUUUGUGAGACCCUAGGAACGAUUUCUCUUGCUCUAUGGUUUCCUCAGACUUUUUCAACUGUUCACAUUGUCUAACCUAAUGUUGAGUUUGUUUUUGCUUUUGUUUUUGUGUUUUUCUUGUUUUUAUUUUUGUUUUUGUUUUCUUUUUUAAAGGCUAGACACUUUGUUCAGGACAGUCCUCUCUAUAUAUCUUAAUGAUUUGUGGUUAAAUUUUGCAGCAAGUACAUCAUCCAUCACAAAGCUUUCCACUUGCCUAUUUUUUGGUUCAUGAUUUAAAAUAUGAACUCCAUGGGGAGGGAUGCAAGCAUAUUUUGAGCUGUUUCUUAAAUAAAUAGGUAGAUUAGGUUCUACUUUUAUUUUUCAAAUUUUUUUUAGUCCAAAAUUUAAAAACAAUUUUAAAAAUUAUAUUUUGUGUCAUAUUUUAUAUUUUGUUUUAAAAUUUCAGAUCACCUGCAUGUUAUUCUUCUUCUAAAAUAGAAUUAUAUUUAGUAACAUAUUUUAUUUUCUUUUAAAUUUGAGAGAGAAAAAAAUAGAAAAAUUAAAGGUAUUAUCAAAUUUUAUUUUUUUUGAAAAAAAAAUAAGAAAUUACACUCAUGAGUCACCUGCAUCUUAUUCUUUUUUAUCAUACCAACAAUCUUAAUGUCUCACGAGUGAAUAUUUUAUUGAAAUAUUAUCGAAAGUCCCAAAGAAAAAAAGACCCAUAAAAAAUUUUCAAAAAAGUUUCUGUACUUGUUAUUUAAUUAUAAAAAAUAUUUCUUUUUUAUUUUUAAAAUAAAAAUAAAGUUUUAUUACUAAAAUCGUUUAUGCUUAUAAAAAGUAAAACCAUAAUUAAAAAUCAAUCUUAUUUUCUACUUUUGAAAUAUUAAAAACAAAAUUAUAUCCAAAUUAUACCCAAGUAGUGUAUAAGUACUUUCGAGUUUCAAUUAAGCCAUUAGGAGAAUACAAUCCUAAGAAUGUUAAGGGUGGGGUGGGGGGGCUUGUGGUUAUCCUAACAGCCAAGAGAUGCCCCUCGAAGCUAUCCUCUGAAUUUUGUGGAAUCCAUUUUGACCCAAGUUUGAGACUUGCUCUUUUGUUUUAAUUAGGCCAUGGGUGGCCCUCGUGUGUCAUGCAUUAAUGUUGUUGUGAAAUGAAUAUCCUCGUCAUGUUUCCCAAUGGGCCUUGAAGCCUAUUGAAUGAGCUUCACUUGGAACCAAUCCCAAUAAAACAAGCAAGCUGAAAGCCCAGAGAGAGGACUGAGAAGCAAGUAGAGCUUGGACCAACUUUGCUCAGCUAAGCAAAUAUUCUUCAGCUUCCCAAUGUGAGGAGCUAGCUAGCUGUACCACAAAAGGAACUAUGAAUUCAGGGCAGCAAUUCAAUUGCUUUCCUUUUUUUUUUAACUUGAACCUCGUUCUAAAACAGGCCCAUUACUUCUAUCAGCCUAUUAAAAGACAGACCAAGAACAUGUAAUUUUCGUUUGAUCAUAUAUAUUAAUUAAUUCAACCAGAUCAAAUUGUUCAUUUUGAUUUAUCUAAGCUGCCUAACAUGUCUCAUUUGAAUUGUGACACUUUAGCCAGCCAGCAUAAUCAUUCUGAAGUAUCAAGAUUUCAGGUUUUCUGAAUCCGUUGAGUUAUAAAGCCCUUGAAGAUGGAUUGAUGUCUUGUUCAAGUGCUGACAAUUUGGAUUUUUAAACUAACAUGAGUUAAUUCAAAAUUAAGUUGAAUCUAUUGGAUAAUGACCAAACAAUAUAUAUAUUAAUGUUUUAAGUUAUGAAUGGUAGCCGACUUUGCAUAUCAUGCCAAUUAAUACUAAGGAUAAGCCUUAAUCAACACAAAUUACUAUAUCAUUGGACUUGUGGGUGGAAUUGCUUGCAGAGAGAUUAGUCCUUGGAAUCCAAACCCUACAGCCACUGCAAUUAAUUCUAAUUAGGAAUAUAUUUCAAAAGGCGAAAAAAAUUAAUCACUAGCAUAAUAAGAGAACAAUUUGAAAAUUUUUCACAUUAACUAAUUAAGCUCCAAAUGCUCACACCAUUGUCCAUUGAUCAGUUUCUCAUCAGUUGUAACAAGACCUCACAAAUAUUUCUCAUCAACCAAACAAAUACUAUUCUGUCCAUGGAUCAAUUUCACUUGCCAGGAACAAAGUUUGUGGCAUAUGCCCAAGCAUUGUUGUUAACGGGGUCGGCAAGGUGGUCAGCCAAGUUCUCCAGUGGACCCUUUCCGGUGACAAUAGCCUGAACAAAGAAGCCAAACAUGGAAAACAUGGCCAGCCUCCCAUUCUUGAUCUCCUUCACCUUGAGCUCAGCAAAAGCCUCAGGGUCAUCAGCUAGCCCUAGUGGAUCAAAGCUUCCACCGGGGUAAAGGGGAUCGGUGACCUCCCCAAGUGGUCCUCCGGCAAUGCGGUAGCCCUCAACUGCGCCCAUCAGGAUCACCUGUGUGGCCCAAAUAGCCAAUAUGCUUUGUGCAUGCACCAAAUUAGGGUUUCCCAAGUAGUCCAGUCCACCCUCGCUGAAUAUCUGCGCACCAGCCUUGAACCACACUGCCUCCCCAAACUUGACCCCGUUGCGCGACAGAAGCUCCGGGAAGACGCAUCCGAGAGCUCCAAGCAUUGCCCACCUGCAGUGGAUGACCUCAAGCUCACGAUUCUUGGCGAAGGUCUCCGGAUCAGCUGAGAGGCCUGCAGUGUCCCAGCCAUAGUCACCAGGGAACUCACCAGUCAAGUAGGAUGGUGGCUCACCAGAGAAGGGCCCCAAGUACUUGACUCGGUCAGGGCCAUACCAGGGGCUUCCUGAAGAAACUGCUUUAGAUUUUGCCACAGAUUUUCUCAUUGUGACUCUUCCUUGAUCACCAGCAAGAAGCUCAGUGACAUUGGGUGCAAGCUUCACAGCUUGUCCAGCAAGGGAAGGAGAAGAGAGAGCCAUUGUUGAUGAAGUGGCCAUAGAUGUGUAGAGUGAAUAUUGGUUUUCUGAGUAGAGUUGAUGGUGUGGUGGUGUGGUGGUGUGAUUUAAUACCAUAUACUGAGGGGUCCAUAUUAUCCUUAUCACUAUCUUUAUCUCUUCUCCCAUUGGCGAAAAUGAAAGUUUUAAGGAUUUUCUUGGUGUUUGUUUGGAGUUGGCAUGCAUCAGCUUUCCUUCUCCUCCACCAAUUUCUUUGGAGAGUUGGUUUAUGCCUUAAUGGAUGUGGGGCAUUUCCAGCCUUUGCUUUAGAUUUCUUGGCCUCCGUGCACCUAAUCAAAGUUCCACACAUGUUGCUUUCAGAUGAGCUUUAGGAUGUGGACACUGGAGAGCCACGCAAAUUUCAAAAGUAAUAAAAUCUCAAUCUGAAGCAUGACAUGUGAUGAUGUAGAAUUUAUUAAGAGACAGUUAGUUGAGGUAGUGGAACUGUUGUUUUAAUGAAGAUAUUUUAUUAUCAAUAAAUAAAUAGAUAAUAAAAGCAACUAUUUUUCCGAGGUAAUUAAUUUUAUGCUAAUUGUAAACUAUCUUAAAAUUUUAAGACAUACAAUAUUUAACCUAUUUUAAAAAAUGUAAAUUUUAAGAUAAAAGUUACAUUGGACAAAGGUAGAUCUCUCUAUCUAUAUAUCAAUCCAUAUGUCUAUAUAUAUAUAUAUAUAUAUAUAUAUAUAUAUAUAUAUAUAUAUAUAUAUAUAUAUAUAUAUAUAUAAUAUAUUAAGGAUUGACAUGUGGUAUAGUGCAUGUUUCACCUUCUGAAAAGUGGUGGCCGUACCUCUACUUGUGACCUUCCUCUAUAACACAAGGAGAAAAUGAUUAGAGUGGGACAACCAAUUUAGCCAAUCCCUCUGUAAUGGUGAAGUUAGUUAUGGGUGGUUAGAGGGGUUAAUAGAAAGAUACUAAGAGAAUGAAUAAAGAUUUAGAAUGAUACCAAGUUGGCUCAAAUGAUCACUUAAUCCAAUAAGAAAGUGUAUAUAAACCCUUUAGAGGUACAAGGCCUAACUUUUGGCCAUUGUUUUCCCAAGUCUAGAAAAGAAAAUUUUAACCUCCCUUAAGAGAAAACCACAUUUUUCUUGUGCCAAAGAUCCAUAAAAAGAGUGAUCGGACGGAAAAUCUUUGGGUAUACAAAAUCUAUGACACCUAGGCUUUGACAUAUGAGUGAAACCUUAAAGUGGUUAUAUACUCCCUAUGAAUUGAGUCACUAUUGUGGAGGUUGUUGGCAACAGACAUUCUAAAUAGAAACAUCAUGAUAUCUCAUGGAAUUAAGACAUUGUUUCUUCUUAGGUGAUCCUAAGGACAUGCAAUUAAGAAACCUAUGAUCAUAGUAAUUUUGUAUAUACUCUUCGUAAACUAAAAUAUGUUAUUUGAUCACAAAAUAGGAGGAUCUAUAAUUCAAGAAUUUGAGAGUUAAUAUUAAGAUAAUGAUAGCAUAUACUUUGUUAGAUUAUAGAAACCAAUUCAUGGAGAGUCUGCAUGUAGUGGAUAGAAGGUUAGGGACCCAAGCUUUCUCUCGUUGUAAAAUUAUAGGAUACUAGAGUGCAAUUAACUCUUUAUAGUGUGAUGUUAAGUCAACUUCAAAAUUGGAUUUUGAGCGGGCCAAAAUUUUCCUAUAGGUCUCAAUGGUUCUUAUUUGAGCUUCUAAUUCAUCACUACACGUUUCUUUCAUGGAAUUAUGUUUUGUAAUUUGUUAGUAUGUAUAAAGGCAUCGGGGUAAAAUACAAUAUUACAUUAGAUCUUAUAAAUGGUCUUUUCAUAUUAGUUUAAUUAAUUAAUUAGAGCCUAAUAAGGAUAAUUAAUUAAUUAGAACAAGUAGGUUAGAUUAAAUGAACAAGCCCAAAUUGGGCUCAAGUCAUUUAAGCUCAUAAGAAAGCCUUCUAAACCCUCUUAGGGCUUAAAUAUUGGUCAUUAUUUCCCAAAUUCCAUAAAAGAAAACCCUAACCUUCCUGUAGAGAAAUGCCAACCUUCUCUUGUGUCAAAGAUCCAUGAAAUGAGUGAUCAAUCAGAAAAUCUUUGGGUAGACGAGAUUUAUGAUGCCUAUAAUAUGUUUCAUCUUAUUAGAAUCGAUUUGGGAACAUUAAUUUAGAUCGCAAGUAUGAUGCUUUUCUCUUUAAAUCUAUGUUAUUAUGGUUUUAAUUGUCAUGUUCUUCCACUGUGUUUAGAUUUGAAGAAGUUUAGGAAUAGUUAGCAUGCAUCCUACAAGAUCCAAGACCAAAGAAUGGAGUACUUCAAGUUUCCCUAUAGCUAGUUGACCACAAGUGCUUCACUAAUACACUUAGGACUAUGUUUCAGAUGGGGGUCAUUGAGGGGCCACUAUAUAAAUUUUCAUAUUCUUACAUAGCUACCUCUUCCCCCUCUAAGAUUUGAAAUGUUUUCCUCUUACUUUCAUAGGGGGUUCUAAUAAAAGAAAUAAAAACCCUAAUCCCAAAUUUGUCAAAGGCUCUUAGGAUCCCUAUGACACCACCUCAUAAGAGGGUGGUCGUAGGAGAGAAGUUUACCCAGUUCAAGACGAAAAAACCUGAGAAGGCAAAGUUGUCCCCCUCUCUCAUUAUAGAAGCUAUGUUCCCUAGCAGCUUCUCUCAACACAUAUCAAGCCUUUCUUCCACAACAUAUGCCAUCUCAAAUAACUCAUAAGGCAGGCAUCUUCCCCCCAAAUGAUUGAUUUUUCCAUUAAGUGGGACCUCACUAUGUGAAGCUCUCUAGGCAUAAGCCUACAACAUGAUAUUCUAAAGGAAGAGUGUCAUAAGAAGAGUUUCAAGCAUUGAAUAAGAUCAUCUCACCUUUGGACUCUCAACACCUUGAGUUUACAAUUGACGUGGUAUGAGGAUUUUUCUACUCACUUUUCUUCGUUUGCUGUUUUUUUCUAGUUUCUAACUAUUUUCCUUACAUGAUUACCUCUAAUUUUGUUUAUUCAAGUUUUCUAGUAAGUACCAUGAGCUAUUGAUGAAUCAAGUGAAGGAGGUGAAGUACCUAUGAUUGUCUUUCAAUAGAAAGGUCGUAGUCUAGGCCCAAGUUGAGGACCUGAUCUUAGCCUUGGAUAUAUAGUUGACCAAGAAAUUCAAGGAAUUGAGGAAAAAGGAGAAGGUGAUUGCAUUUCAAACAUCAAUUUCUAUAUUGUAUAUGAAAAACAAAGCCCUUUGAACCAAAGAACAUCUUUCUUGACUUCCAUAUUAAGCUUUUUUUUUAAGUUACAUGUUCUUUGAAUAAAUUAACCAAACUAGCAUGAAGCUCUUAUUGAGUUACAAAAAUGUUUUUGACUUCUUAAUAGUCAAUUCAAAUAAUAUCUACAUAAGAAAAUUGUUACAAGUUAAAAUGACUUAUCAAUUUGCUUCAACAAUAUACUUGAUAAAGUAAUUUUUUCGUAAAAAAUAAUAAUAAUAAGGAGAAUUUGAGUGGCAUGUCUAUUUAACAAAUCGAAUUGCAAAGUUUCCAAUUUGAGUAGUAUUGCUCAAUUAUGAUAUUUAAAGUCAUUGGAUGUACAAAGCUAAUACUAGAUUUUUGGGAUAUGACCAAGUUACUAUAAAGAUCAUAACUCAUAUGAGUCUUAGUUUAACAAAAAAAUUAUAUCACAUGUCAAAGAAUGGCAUUUGUUGAAUAACCAAUUUAAUAAAUAUAUCAUUUUUUGAAUGCAAUUGUACUUGGGUUGAGGAAGAAAACAUUAACAGGCUUAAAACCUCACAUUAUUUUUGCAUCAUUAAUUUGAUCCAAGCUCAAAUCCAUACAUAAAACUCAAAUUGUCUAAGGUGGUGUUUGUUUUUUGGCUUAAUAGAAAAAGUCAAAAUAUUUGGUUUUUUCUAUUCAGCUAAAAGUAACAUGUUGACAUCAUCCAACAUAACUAAACUGAACCUAUUGAUAACAAGUUCAUUUUAGCUAUAUUGGAUGAUGUCAACAACUUACUUUUAGCUUAAUAGAAAAAGCCAAAUAUUUUGGCUUUUUCUAUUCAGUCAAAAAACAAACACCACCUAAGUCUAAACUGAAAAAUCAUUGUCCGAUAGGGUAACACCCAAAGGAGGUGAGUGGGUGAAUUUAAAAUAUAUAUAUCAGAGCCAUCGGGAAGGGAAGUUGGGUCUUGUUUUGGGUGUUUUUGGCCUAUCCUAGGAUAGGUAGCAGUGUGCCUAGGAGAGCGAGCCCUGCCGAUUGAGUCGUUGUUAGUCGUGGAUAGGCGUUUGUUAAGCUGUAAGAGGGUUGGGGUGACGUCUCAUAAGGUUUGUCAAUCUGCUAUUAGGCUCUAGAUCAAAACCCUAAAAUGAGUUCAAUUUUCAGAACCAUGUCUAGGAGAUCCAGUGAUUCUCAAGAUACUGUUGUAAACAGUGAAGAGAUCAAUUAUCCUAAGAUCCAAAAUGAUUUAGAUGAUUGGAAGUUACCCAAGGUGUCUAAUCAAGAAAUUUAUAAGAAAGGAACCUUUAAGUUCUUCACAAAUUAUACCAUUAAGACCUCUGAAAUGUUAGUCAGCUUAGAACAAGACGACCAAGUCAUAAGACUUCUAGAUAACAGAUCCAUUGAAAAGCAUAAGAAAGAUGACUAUAAUUUCAUACACUUUGGUAUGAUUCAAGUAGCUGCUAAGCCUUUGACAAGAUUAGGUUUAAACACCUCUAUUGUCAUGUGUUUAAGGGAUAAUAGGCAUCUCGAAUAUCGAGAUUCUAUUAUAGGCGCAGUCCAAGCUGGACUGAAUGAUGGCCCAGUUUAUUUCCAGUGUUAUCCUAACUUCACAGUUAGAAUAAGAGAUGCAGACAUCUUAGAUUCCGUUGUCCUGCAUAUUAAGACCCAUGGCUUUAAGAUCAAACCAGGAAACAAUCCUGUUUCAAUCAUAACCAGGUUUGCCUAUAAGAGCAUGAACACAAGCGUUGGAUCUGGGGCUCUUUGCACCAGUCCUAAAGGUGAGACCACUUACUUUCAC